rnacentral:rRNA from 1 species
UGGGGAAUAUUGCACAAUGGGGGAAACCCUGAUGCAGCAACGCCGCGUGGGUGAAGGAGCGUUUCGGCGCGUAAAGCCCUGUCAGCGGGGAAGAAGAAAGACGGUACCCGACCAAGAAGCCCCGGCUAACUACGUGCCAGCAGCCGCGGUAAUACGUAGGGGGCGAGCGUUAUCCGGAAUUACUGGGUGUAAAGGGAGCGUAGACGGCGAGGUAAGCCUGAAGUGGAAGCCCGCGGCCCAACCGCGGAACUGCUUUGGGAACUGUUUUGCUGGAGUAUGGGAGGGGUAAGCGGAAUUCCUGGUGUAGCGGUGAAAUGCGUAGAUAUCAGGAGGAACACCGGUGGCGAAGGCGGCUUACUGGACCAUAACUGACGUUGAGGCUCGAAAGCGUGGGGAGCGAACA